AGCCACCUUCUAGGUAGAGCCUAUUCUCCUUUUGUGGAUAUUCAGGCACAGAAGUUCUACAGAAUCCUCUGUACGUCCCACUGAGACUUCACCACCUUUGAGACCCAACCCAUCCAACCCAAGCCAAAUAGUCCCUUUGAGCUCCAGCCUUUGUCUCAUGCCAUGUUAUUUAGGAAGGUCCCGAGAUGACACAGUGGUAGCACAUGCUUAAUAAUGGCAGCUUCAUUUGCACAUUAGGGAAAUAUCUGAAGCCUAAACCAGCGGUCCUUCAGCCUUCCUUCAGAAUCGCCCCAAUUGUGUCAUCUUCUCAGAAGUUUUCCCAUUUCACCAUUAAACGUUCCUCUUACUGAAUUGGGAGCUCCAUAGUUCUCCCUCUGUCUGUGUUACAGACUUUGCACACUGUGAACCUGAUGAGUUAUCUCAAACCUUCUCCAGACCCUGCUAUGUUUUUUGCUAGUCUUGGCUGUAAGAGAAACCUUUGGAUUUUCUUACCUAUUUCAGUUGACCAUAUGGAAAUCUUUGACUAGGUUAUGUUGACCUUCCUAAGUUUCCUUCUUACUUUUGGGAUUCGUUGAAAUUUGAUUUAUUCCAGCCCACCAUUUACCCAGUCCAUUGUCACUGAUGAAAGCACAUUACUUCCAAUAGUUCCUUAGCCUAAAGGACACCACACUAAGGAAAAGAAGCACAGCAUAUCUUCAAAAACUGGCAAAGGUAUGAUUUGGAGAAUAGCGUCAUUCUGGCUUUAAAGAAACUAGUGAUUCCUGUCUAGAAUUAGACAAACAAAGUAUAUUUUGGAAGUGAUGAUUUUUUUUCCUGGUUUUAAAAAUGUUUAUAAAAAAAGAACUUUUAUAACAAGCUAUUUUCCUCUGGACAUAUUAAAUAUGGGUAAAAGAUUUUUCAAUGAUAUGUAAAGGUUUAUGUAACAUAGAGGAUGAGUCGUUUCUAAUGAAGCAAGCUGUUUUCCUAGCUUCUCGUUUUCUGCUCUGAGUUUCCUUGUCUCUUCUUAAAUACAUCUGGAAAAUGCUAACUAUAUUUUUGUGAUUCCGCUUGUGAUUCACUUGGGGGCUUGACUGUAAGAAAGCAGACUAACAUAAUUAAAUCAAUUAAAAGAGCUAGAUAAAUCUAAAGAAUAUUUAUGAAAUAAAUUUCUGUGUGAGCUUAAGAAUUCAGAGGUCAUGAAUAAAUGCUACAUAAAACC
rnacentral:lncRNA from 1 species